rnacentral:sRNA from 1 species
CGGCGAGUAAGAUGGAAGAUGAGGAGGUCGCUGAGAGCUGGGAAGAGGCGGCAGACAGCGGGGGCUGGUGUGAGCAGAAAAUGAAUGUCUGUGGAAGAAUGUUGACAGCCAUAAUACAUUAUAUCGAUAUAAGGAAAUAGACAGACGGUUGGAAAAAAAACUGAAGAUCACACAAAAAGAGAGCAGGAAAUCCAAAUCUCCUCCCAAAGUGCCCAUUGUGAUUCAGGACGAUAGCCUUCCCGCGGGGCCCCCUCCACAGAUCCGCAUCCUCAAGAGGCCCACCAGCAACGGUGUGGUCAGCAGCCCCAACUCCACCAGCAGGCCCACCCUUCCAGUCAAGUCCCUAGCACAGCGAGAGGCCGAGUACGCCGAGGCCCGGAAGCGGAUCCUGGGCAGCGCCAGCCCCGAGGAGGAGCAGGAGAAACCCAUCCUCGACAGGCCAACCAGGAUCUCCCAACCCGAAGACAGCAGGCAGCCCAAUAAUGUGAUCAGACAGCCUUUGGGUCCUGAUGGGUCUCAAGGCUUCAAACAGCGCAGAUAAAUGCAGGCAAGAAAAGAUGCCGCCGUUGCUGCCGUCACCGCCUCCUGGGUCGUCCGCCACGGGUUGCACUGCCGUGGCAGACAGCUGGACUUGAGCAGAGGGAACGACCUGACUUACUUGCACUGUGAUCCCCCUUGCUCCGCCCACUGUGACCUUGAACCCCAUGCACUGUGACCUCCCCCCUUCUCCCCCUUCCCACUGUGAUUGGCACAUCGACAAGGGCUGUCCCAAGUCAAUGGAAAGGGAAAGG